CGGGUCUAGCUUGCUAGAUGCUGACGAGUGGCGGACGGGUGAGUAAAGCGCAGGGAUCUGUCUUAUAGGGUGGGAUAACCUGGGGAAACUCAGGGUAAUACCGCAUGAAGCCUACGGGUAAAAGAGGGGGAUCUGAAAGGACCUCUCGCUAUGAGGUGAGCCUGCGUCGGAUUAGCUAGUUGGUGGGGUAAAGGCCUACCAAGGCGAAGAUCCGUAACUGGUCUGAGAGGACGACCAGUCACACUGGGACUGAGACACGGCCCAGACUCCUACGGGAGGCAGCAGUGGGGAAUUUUGGACAAUGGGCGAAAGCCUGAUCCAGCAAUACCGCGUGUGUGAAGAAGGCCUGCGGGUUGUAAAGCACUUUUGUUAGGGAAGAAGGUAUGAUGGUGAAUAGCCAUUAUAUUUGACAUUACCUAAAGAAUAAGCACCGGCUAACUCUGUGCCAGCAGCCGCGGUAAUACAGAGGGUGCAAGCGUUAAUCGGAAUUACUGGGCGUAAAGGGUGCGUAGGUGGAUAUAUAAGUCAGA
rnacentral:rRNA from 1 species